UCAGAACAGUCUCAACUGGAUAAAAGCAUGAUAAAUUGUCGCAAAGAUCAUUUUCCAGCCAGGUGCAUUUUAGAGCACACGGUUGGAAAGAAAGGUUUGGAAAAAGAAGUCGACAUGUUUCUCACAAUGGACCCUUGAUUUUGGACGCAAUUUUCAGUGACAGUGUCGAGAACACGAUUUGAAUACCUUUCCCAAAUUGAAUAUUCAUCAGGACAUUCCCGUGGCAGAUUGACCAAAGUAUUGUAAACAUAUUCUCACCCAGCUUCAUCACACGGGCAUUUGCGAGACGUUUUGACACCACGAUUUGAAUGAAAGACAUUUCUUCUUUGGCCUUUGUUUCGUUAUAAUUUGAUUGAUUUAGAGGAUCUUUGUAUGUUUAUUGUAAAGUUGAAGGAUAAUUCAAGAUUUUGCAUCCUGCUCUCAAAUAGUUUCAGCGAUUGAUAGGACCCCUAUUUCAUAGAUUUUCAUACCCUACUUCCAAUUGGAUUUUUACGAGGAUGUUUAUGAAACACACGGUUCCCUCAUUGUACUUUUACAGAGUUUGCCCCCUAUGCGUUAUAAACAUCUAUUAGAUUUUGCUUUAAAUGUGCUAUUUAACUUUGGAGGAUCCUCAACUCUAGCCAUUUAUUGUUACCAAUCUUGCAAUUGGUUUUUUACGAGGAUGUUGGUGAAAUACACGCCUCCCUCAUUGUGAUAUAUUUGAGGGUUUGCCUCAUAUAUUUUGAAAACAUCAGAUUUUA